CGGAAAUAGCCAGCGUUUGUUUUAUUUGGUAUGUAUUUGGUAUUAUAUCAUAAGACACACGCGGCUAUUUCCA
rnacentral:pre_miRNA from 1 species